rnacentral:rRNA from 1 species
GACGAACGCUGGCGGCGUGCUUAACACAUGCAAGUCGAACGGGCCUGUCUUCUUUUUUGGGGGUGGGUUGAGUGGCGAACGGGUGAGUAUCACGUGAGUAACCUGCCCUUCGGUCCUGGAUAACCGCUUGAAAGGGCGGCUAAUACGGGGUGGUCCGGUUGGUCCGCAUGGGCUGGUCGGGAUAGAUUCACUGUUUUUGGUGUUUCGGCGGGGGAUGGGCUCGCGGCCUAUCAGCUUGUUGGUGGGGUGAUGGCCUACCAAGGCGGUGACGGGUAGCCGGCCUGAGAGGGUGGGCGGCCUCACUGGGACUGAGAUACGGCCCAGACUCCUGCGGGAGGCAGCAGUGGGGGGUAUUGCACAAUGGGCGGAAGCCUGAUGCAGCGACGUCGCGUGAGGGAUGGAGGCCUUCGGGUUGUGAACCUCUGUUUCCGGUGGUGAAGGCCCUGUCCGUGUGGUGGGGUUGACGGUAGCCGGGGAUGAAGCGCCGGCUAACUACGU